rnacentral:sRNA from 1 species
UCAAGUGCUCCAACUGCAGUGGGCCAGC